UGGGGAAUUUUUGACAAUGGGGGAAACCCUGAUCCAGCCAUCCCGCGUGUGCGAUGAAGGCCUUCGGGUUGUAAAGCACUUUUGGCAGGAAAGAAACGUCAUGGGUUAAUACCCCGUGAAACUGACGGUACCUGCAGAAUAAGCACCGGCUAACUACGUGCCACCAGCCGCGUUAAUACGUAGGGUGCAAGCGUUAAUCGGAAUUACUGGGCGUAAAGCGUGCGCAGGCGGUUCGGAAAGAAAGAUGUGAAAUCCCAGAGCUCAACUUGGGAACUGCAUUUUUAACUACCGGGCUAGAGUGUGUCAGAGGGAGGUGGAAUUCCGCGUGUAGCAGUGAAAUGCGUAGAUAUGCGGAGGAACACAGAUGGCGAAGGCAGCCUCCGGGGAUAACACUGACGCUCAUGCACGAAAGCGUGGGGAGAAAACAGG
rnacentral:rRNA from 1 species